rnacentral:rRNA from 1 species
AAUGAACGCUGGCGGCAGGCCUAAAACAUGCAAGUCGAACGCCCUAGCAAUAGGGAGUGGCGCACGGGUGAGUAACAUGUGGGAAUAUGCCUUUUGGUACGGAACAACGUUUGGAAACGAACGCUAAUACCGUAUGGUCCCUCCGGGGUAAAGAUUUAUCGCCAAAAGAUUAGCCCGCACUAGAUUAGCUAGUUGGUAAGGUAAUGGCUUACCAAGGCGACGAUCUAUAGCUGUUCUGAGAGGAAGAUCAGCCACACUGGGACUGAGACACGGCCCAGACUCCUACGGGAGGCAGCAGUUAGGAAUAUUGGACAAUGGGCGCAAGCCUGAUCUAGCCAUGCCGCGUGAGCGAUGAAGGCCUUAGGGUUGUAAAGCUCUUUCAGCUGGGAAGAUAAUGACUGUACCAGCAGAAGAAGCCCCGGCUAACUCCGUGCCAGCAGCCGCCGUAAUAC